rnacentral:precursor_RNA from 1 species
ACUCGCUGCUUCAUUCAUCCAUCCAUCCAUUCAUCCAUUGAUGCGCUCAUCGCCGUCCGGUCGCUGCCCUGCUGCUGCUGCUGCUUCUUCUUCUUCUUCUUCUUCUUCUUCACGCCUCACUCUGUCGCUUCUUCCUCUGCAGCGUACGUGCUGGUGCUGCAAAAGGAAAGGAGCCGCGGCUCCAUCCAUCCAUCCAUCCAUCCAUGCAAGUCGUCUUCCUGCCGACCGGCCUGCCUGCCUCUAGUACAUUCGGGAUCGAUCGA